CCUACGGGAGGCAGCAGUGGGGAAUAUUGCACAAUGGGCGCAAGCCUGAUGCAGCCAUGUCGCGUGUGUGAAGAAGGCCUUCGGGUUGUAAAGCACUUUCAGCGGGGAGGAAGGCGUUAAGGUUAAUAACCUUGGCGAUUGACGUUACCCGCAGAAGAAGCACCGGCUAACUCCGUGCCAGCAGCCGCGGUAAUACGGAGGGUGCAAGCGUUAAUCGGAAUUACUGGGCGUAAAGCGCACGCAGGCGGUCUGUCAAGUCGGAUGUGAAAUCCCCGGGCUCAACCUGGGAACUGCAUUCGAAACUGGCAGGCUAGGGUCUUGUAGAGGGGGGUAGAAUUCCAGGUGUAGCGGUGAAAUGCGUAGAGAUCUGGAGGAAUACCGGGGGCGAGGGCGGCCCCCGGGACAAAGACUGACGCUCAGGUGCGAAAGCGUGGGGAGCAAACAGGAUUAAUACCCGGGUAGUC
rnacentral:rRNA from 1 species